GCUACCAACUCAGAGAAGGUGGCUCUUUCAUCCUGACCUAUUGCUUCUCCUGUCAUAGUAUUCCACUUUUGACUCAGUCGUGAACUUCGUAGAGUGAAUCCCAAACUUUACCUUCGACUGAGGCAGGAUGGAAUACUUUCAGCUGACUUUAGGUCUCCUCCUCUUGAGUUUCUGCUUGGUGAACGCCCUCCCUUCUUCAAAUGAAAAGGACGCCUUCACGGGACCAGAACCAAAAAAUAAUGUGACCCAAUCCUGGAUUUUGGGUCCCAAAAACUCUGAAAUUGACAGACAAGGUAAUUUCCAG